AGUGGAAUUCUUUGAAGAAUAGUGUUCUUCUCCAUAUGAGAAAUCUUUCAUUCUUGAAGAAAUUAAGAUUGAGCGAUAAUCACUUGGAAGGAAGGGUGCUUCAUAUUCAAGGAUUGAAUAAUUUGAUAAACUUGAAGUACUUGGAUUUAAGUUUCAACAACAUUGAAAGCAUCUCAAGCAAAGCUUAUUAAGAGAGUAAGAUGGCGUCCACUUUCACAGCCAUGUCAUCAGUUGGCUCAUUCAUUGCAUCUAAUGGUUUGGCCAUAAAAUAAUUUAUGGUUUUGCUCAAUCAGGUGACCGAGAUUCCGUUUAACAAUUUUCUUUAUUGCUGGAACAAGUCUUAACCAAGAUCAAGAUCAAAGUACUUCACUAAGUUAU